rnacentral:rRNA from 1 species
AUUGAACGCUGGCGGCAGGCCUAACACAUGCAAGUCGCACGAGUGGCGGACGGGUGAGUAAUGUCUGGGAAACUGCCCGAUGGAGGGGGAUAACUACUGGAACGGGUAGCUAAUACCGCAUACCAUCGGAUGUGCCCAGAUGGGAUUAGCUAGUAGGUGGGGUAACGGCUCACCUAGGCGACGAUCCCUAGCUGGUCUGAGAGGAUGACCACCCACACGGGAAUUGAUACACGGUCCAGACUCCGACGGGAGGCAGCAUUGGUGAAUAUUGCACAAUGGGCGCAAGCCUGAUGCAGCCAUGCCGCGUGGAUGAAGAAGGCCUGCGGUUUGUAAAGUACUUUCAGCGAGGAGGCGUUACUCGCAGAAGAAGCACCGGCUAACUCCGUGCCAGCAGCCGCGGUAAUUC